rnacentral:misc_RNA from 1 species
GGGUUUUUGUUUUAUACUUUAAAUAUUGAUUUUAUUUUUUAUGUUUUAAGAUGUUCAUGUUUUUGAAUGUUUUAUUCAAAUAAUAUAAAAAAUAAAAUAUAUAUUGACAUGGAUUAAACAAAGAUAUAUAUUAUUCUAUGUUGUAUAAACAAAUUGGCAAAAUAGAGAUGGAAGAUAAAAAUAUGGU